GCUGUGAACAAUAUAUCUAACUGGAAAUGAAUCUUAUAGGCUUUUUAGAAAAAAGUUGAGAAAAUCUAUGACUUUAUGAGACUUCAUUAGAUUUAUGGACUUUGGUAUUGCAUGUAGUGUCUGACUGAAAACUUAUCAGAAGUUCAACUGCUCCAUAAAUUAACCACAUAAUUGUAAUUGUAAAUAAAUACAGGUUUUAGGAGCCUGUAAUUCAGUGGUUGUUGUUUGUUUAUGUGUUACAUACAUGUAUAUACUUGUUUUUCAUUCAUUUUUUUAUAAAUAAGGCCAUUAGUUUUUUUGCUUGAACUGUUUUACAGAGUCAUUUCGGGGUCUCUUAUAGCUGACUAUGCGGUAUGGGCUUUGCUCAUUGUUGAAUGCCAAACAGUUACCUAUAAUUGUUAAUUUCUGUGUCAUUUUGGUCGUUUGUGGAGAGUUGUCUCAUUUGCAAUUAUACCACAUCUUCUUUUUUAUAUUUAUCAUAAUUAAAGUAAAUAUAUUUU
rnacentral:lncRNA from 1 species